AACGAACGCUGGCGGCAUGCCUAACACAUGCAAGUCGAACGAUUAAAGCUCUCUUCGGAGAGUGCAUAAAGUGGCGCACGGGUGAGUAACACGUAAGUAAUCUACCUUCGAGUGGGAUAACGUCCGGAACGGACGCUAAUACCGCAUAACGCAGCGGCAUCGCAAGAUGACAGUUGUUAAAGAUUUAUCGCUUGAAGAGGAGCUUGCGGCAGAUUAGCUUGUUGGUAAGGUAACGGCUUACCAAGGCUACGAUCUGUAUCCGGUCUAAGAGGACGGUCGGACACACUGACA
rnacentral:rRNA from 1 species